UCCAAAAACACCAGCAAAAGCAUAGCAAACAUGCAAAUUCUGUCUUACCUCUGCUGUUUUCUCAUCGGAAGUUAUUUCCAGUUGACUAGAAGUAGUUUCCUUGUGUAUUCCAUCCAUUUACCGUCUGAUCGCUUGCAUUGUUCCCACCCGGCAUCUUGUAUAGGACGGAAAUCAUGACCAAAUAUGGCAUCUGGGCCCGUGCGCUCUUCCUGACUUCCCCUGCGUUCUGGCUCUGUGAUUCGCCAGGGUUUCUGUCCAAUCACAAUAGAAGCUCUAACUUUUUUCUGCAUAGUUACAGCUUCGUUUUAAUACCAGGAGCUCCCUGAUUGGACUAAAAGUCAGACUUGCUGAACCGCGCGUAAGGAGUUAGCAGGUGUUAGCGUGUGUUAGCAUUUACGCAUUACGCACGGGUGAUACGCGGGUGUACUAUUUUCCACGGUGUUUUCCCUUUUUUUUUGUCAAAAACGAUGUCUAAGAGGAAGUAUGUGAAGCCUUUGACUGUGGAGGAAGUUUUACAGAUGCUAGAUGAAUUUCCUGGAGCUGAAGUCAACCUUGAGGACUCUGAUUCAAGUGAUUCAGAUCUCAUUCAUCCUGAACAUGGACUAGAUCAUGACGAGCCGCUUGAGAGUAGUAGUGGUGAUGAUGAUGAUGGGGAGUCUGAAGAACCAAACAGAGCUUCAUUACCGCUGCCAGGUCCAUCUACACCAGCACGAAGUGCUGAGGAAUUUCUGCCACCGCUCUGCCUGUCAAAACCACCUGUGCCAAAGAGGCCGUGCCGUGCUUUUUCCAGACUGCAGAGUGCUCGAUCUACAUUGAGUUCUCCCAGCAGUAGUGAGGGGGAAGGUGACGAUGGGGAUUAUCAUCCACCUUCAAGGCCUAAGCGUCAGCCAACCACAAGACGAACAACUCAAAGAGUGUCAGCCCCACCCUCCCUGGAACCAGCUACAGUACCCCGAAAAGAAUCCUCCAAGAGCGUGAGAGGGAGGAGGAGAACUGCGUCCACCAGUCCUGCACCUCCGAGCUCUGCUGCCUCUCCACUGUCUGCGUGUCCGAGCCGUACUGCCGCUCCACUGCCUGCGUGUCCGAGCCCUGCUGCCGCU
rnacentral:lncRNA from 1 species